ACAGGUACUUUAAUGCUGGCAAUUUAAAAAGAUGGGAAUCUUCGACAGUUGUCAGAGGAUUACGACUGAGAAUUCUGAAAAAUGCAAUGGAAUUAAAUGGUCAUUUUCAAUAUCUAUGAGACUACAUGAAAGACAUAAUUCAGUUUUGAAACAUGCUUAUCUUUUAUUCCACUUACACUUGCUGUAAAAACUGCAUUCCAUGCCAUGCCUGAAAUGUUCCAAAGUUCAACUCUGUGAUGAAAUUGCAACCAAGAUUUCUACAAAAAAAAAAA